AACACCGUGGCAGAGUGGUAAUGUUCGCGACUUUGAUUCGUCAAGCUGUGGGUUCGAAACCCGCCACGGUCUAA